rnacentral:lncRNA from 8 species
UCGUAUCUCUUUACCCUCCCUCUCUUCUCCAGUCGUAUCUCUUUACCCUCCCUCUCUCUCUUCUUCAGUCGUAUCUCUUUACCUUCUCUCUCUCUUCUCCAGUCGUAUCUCUUUACCCUCUCUCUCUCUCUUCUUCAGUCGUAUCUCUUUACUCUCUCUCUCUCUUCUCCAGUCGUAUCUCUUUACCCUCUCUCUCUCUUCUCCAGUCGUAUCUCUUUACCCUCCCUCUCUUCUCCAGUCGUAUCUCUUUACCCUCCCUCUCUCUCUUCUUCAGUCGUAUCUCUUUACCUUCUCUCUCUCUUCUCCAGUCGUAUCUCUUUACCCUCUCUCUCUCUCUUCUUCAGUCGUAUCUCUUUACUCUCUCUCUCUCUUCUUCAGUCGUAUCUCUUUACCCUCUCUCUCUCUCUUCUCCAGUCGUAUCUCUUUACCCUCCCUCUCUUCGCCAGUCGUAUCUCUUUACCCUCCUCUCUCUCUUCUCCAGUCGUAUCUCUUUACCUUCUCUCUCUCUUCUUCAGUCGUAUCUCUUUACCCUCCCUCUCUUCUCCAGUCGUAUCUCUUUACCCCUCUCUCUCUUCUCCAGUCGUAUCUCUUUACCCUCCCUCUCUUCGCCAGUCGUAUCUCUUUACUCUCUCUCUCUUCACCAGUCGUAUCUCUUUACUCUCUCUCUCUCUUCUCCAGUCGUAUCUCUUUACCUUCUCUCUCUCUUCUCCAGUCGUAUCUCUUUACCCUCUCUCUCUCUUCUCCAGUCGUAUCUCUUUACCCUCUCUCUCUCUCUUCUCCAGUCGUAUCUCUUUACCCUCUCUCUCUUCGCCAGUCGUAUCUCUUUACCCUCUCUCUCUCUUCUCCAGUCGUAUCUCUUUACCCUCUCUCUCUCUUCUCCAGUCGUAUCUCUUUACCCUCUCUCUCUCUCUUCUUCAGUCGUAUCUCUUUACCCUCUCUCUCUCUCUUCUUCAGUCGUAUCUCUUUACCCUCUCUCUCUCUCUCUUCUCCAGUCGUAUCUCUUUACCCUCUCUCUCUCUCUUCUCCAGUCGUAUCUCUUUACCCUCCCUCUCUCUCUUCUCCAGUCGUAUCUCUUUACUCUCUCUCUCUUCGCCAGUCGUAUCUCUUUACCCUCCCUCUCUUCUCCAGUCGUAUCUCUUUACCCUCUCUCUCUCUUCUUCAGUCGUAUCUCUUUACCCUCUCUCUCUUCUUCAGUCGUAUCUCUUUACCCUCUCUCUCUCUCUCUCUCUCUCUCUUCUCCAGUCGUAUCUCUUUACCCUCUCUCUCUCUCUCUCUCUUCUCCAGUCGUAUCUCUUUACCCUCUCUCUCUCUCUCUCUUCUCCAGUCGUAUCUCUUUACCCUCUCUCUCUCUCUCUCUCUCUCUCUCUUCUUCAGUCGUAUCUCUUUACCCUCUCUCUCUCUUCUCCAGUCGUAUCUCUUUACCCUCUCUCUCUUCUCCAGUCGUAUCUCUUUACCCUCUCUCUCUCUUCUCCAGUCGUAUCUCUUUACCCUCUCUCUCUCUCUUCUUCAGUCGUAUCUCUUUACCCUCUCUCUCUCUUCUUCAGUCGUAUCUCUUUACCCUCUCUCUCUCUCUCUUCUCCAGUCGUAUCUCUUUACCCUCUCUCUCUCUCUCUCUCUCUUCUCCAGUCGUAUCUCUUUACCCUCUCUCUCUCUCUCUCUCUCUUCUCCAGUCGUAUCUCUUUACCCUCUCUCUCUCUCUCUCUCUCUUCUCCAGUCGUAUCUCUUUACCCUCUCUCUCUCUCUCUUCUUCAGUCGUAUCUCUUUACCCUCUCUCUCUCUCUCUCUCUCUUCUUCAGUCGUAUCUCUUUACCCUCUCUCUCUCUCUCUCUCUCUCUCUCUCUUCUUCAGUCGUAUCUCUUUACCCUCUCUCUCUCUCUCUUCUCUAGUCAUAUCUCUUUACCCUCCCUCUCUUCCCCAGUCGUAUCUCUUUACUCUCUCUCUCUUCGCCAGUCGUAUCUCUUUACCCCCCCUCUCUCUCUCUCUCUUCUUCAGUCGUAUCUCUUUACCCUCUCUCUCUCUCUUCUCCAGUCGUAUCUCUUUACUCUCUCUCUCUUCGCCAGUCGUAUCUCUUUACCUUCUCUCUCUCUUCUCCAGUCGUAUCUCUUUACCCUCUCUCUCUCUUCUCCAGUCGUAUCUCUUUACCCUCUCUCUCUUCUCCAGUCGUAUCUCUUUACCCUCUCUCUCUCUCUCUCUCUCUUCCCCAGUCGUAUCUCUUUACCCUCCCUCUCUUCGCCAGUCGUAUCUCUUUACUCUCUCUCUCUUCACCAGUCGUAUCUCUUUACUCUCUCUCUCUCUUCUCCAGUCGUAUCUCUUUACCUUCUCUCUCUCUUCUCGAGUCGUAUCUCUUUACCCUCUCUCUCUCUCUCUCUCUCUUCUCCAGUCGUAUCUCUUUACCCUCCCUCUCUCUCUUCUUCAGUCGUAUCUCUUUACCUCUCUCUCUCUUCUCCAGUCGUAUCUCUUUACCCUCUCUCUCUCUUCUCCAGUCGUAUCUCUUUACUCUCUCUCUCUUCGCCAGUCGUAUCUCUUUACCUUCUCUCUCUCUUCUCCAGUCCUAUCUCUUUACCCUCUCUCUCUUCUCUAGUCGUAUCUCUUUACUCUCUCUCUCUUCGCCAGUCGUAUCUCUUUACCCUCUCUCUCUCUCUCUCUCUCUUCUUCUAG